GACGAACGCUGGCGGCGUGCUUAACACAUGCAAGUCGAACGGCAAGGCCCUGCUUUUGUGGGGUGCUCGAGUGGCGAACGGGUGAGUAACACGUGAGUAACCUGCCCUUGACUUUGGGAUAACUUCAGGAAACUGGGGCUAAUACCGGAUAGGAGCUCCUGCUGCAUGGAGGGGGUUGGAAAGUUUCGGCGGUUGGGGAUGGACUCGCGGCUUAUCAGCUUGUUGGUGGGGUAGUGGCUUACCAAGGCUUUGACGGGUAGCCGGCCUGAGAGGGUGACCGGCCACAUUGGGACUGAGAUACGGCGCAGACGCCUACGGGAGGCAGCAGUGGGGAAUAUUGCACAAUGGGCGGAAGCCUGAUGCAGCAACGCCGCGGGCGGGAUGACGGCCUUCGGGUUGUAAACCGCUUUCGCCUGUGACGAAGCGUGAGUGACGGUAAUGGGUAAAGAAGCACCGGCUAACUACGUG
rnacentral:rRNA from 1 species